GGUGGAUAUGGCUGCAGAUCUUGGGAGAGAGUCAAAAAAAUUUGUAAAUAGCUUUGAAAUUUUGGUGGAGAAGAAGAAGAGAAAAUGAGAGAAAAUGAGGGAAGAUGACAGAAAAUGAGAAGAAGAGGAGGCUGCUGCGGAAAAUGGGAGAAGAACAGUGGGAGGCUUUAAUUCAAAUUUAAGAUGACCGCUUCACGGACC
rnacentral:lncRNA from 1 species